rnacentral:rRNA from 1 species
UAGGGAAUCUUCGGCAAUGGACGAAAGUCUGACCGAGCAACGCCGCGUGAGUGAAGAAGGUUUUCGGAUCGUAAAACUCUGUUGUUAGAGAAGAACAAGGACGUUAGUAACUGAACGUCCCCUGACGGUAUCUAACCAGAAAGCCACGGCUAACUACGUGCCAGCAGCCGCGGUAAUACGUAGGUGGCAAGCGUUGUCCGGAUUUAUUGGGCGUAAAGCGAGCGCAGGCGGUUUCUUACGUCUGAUGUGAAAGCCCCCGGCUCAACCGGGGAGGGUCAUUGGAAACUGGAAGGCUUGAGUGCAGAAGAGGAGGGUGGAAUUCCAUGUGUAGCGGUGAAAUGCGUAGAUAUAUGGAGGAACACCAGUGGCGAAGGCGGCUCUCUGGUCUGUAACUGACGCUGAGGCUCGAAAGCGUGGGGAGCAAACAGG